ensembl:lncRNA
GGCGGCAGGUAGCCUAGUGGUUAGAGUGUAGGGGCGGCAGGUAGUCUAGUGGUUAGAGUGUAGGGGCGGCAGGUAGUCUAGUGGUUAGAGUGUAGGGGCGGCAGGUAGUCUAGUGGUUAGAGUGUAGGGGCGGCAGGUAGCCUAGUGGUUAGAGCGUAGGGGCGGCAGGUAGCCUAGUGGUUAGAGCGUAGGGGCGGCAGGUAGCCUAGUGGUUAGAGCGUAGGGGCGGCAGGUAGCCUAGUGGUUAGUGGUUAGAGCGUAGGGGCGGCAGGUAGCCUAGUGGUUAGAGCGUAGGGGCGGCAGGUAGUCUAGUGGUUAGAGCGUAGGGGCGGCAGGUAGCCUAGUGGUUAGAGCGUAGGGGCGGCAGGUAGCCUAGUGGUUAGAGCGUUGGGCCUGUAACCGGUAGAUUGAAUCCCCGAGCUGACAAGGUAAACAUCUGUCGUUCUGCCCCUGAACAAGGCAGUUAACACACUGUUCCCUGGUAGGCCGUCAUUGAAAAUAAGAAUUUGUUCUUAACUGACUUGCCUUGUUAAAUAAAUUCUUAUGGCCAUAGUUCCCAGUCAUAGUUCCCAUAGUUCCCAGUCUAUUGGUGCUGAUCAGAGGAGAGUGGCGUACUGUAUUCGCAAGGGGACUCGGAGUGCUGAUCUAGAAGCAGGUCAAACAGUUGUCC